rnacentral:antisense_RNA from 1 species
UUGGGGUUUUCCAAACAGUUCUUCACAUUCUAUUAGGACUUCUAUGGCUACAGAUAUGUGUGUGUUUUCAGCAUUAACUGCGAUUUUUUGUUGUUGUUACUGGUUUUUUUUUUUUUUUUUUUGAGACGGAGUCUCACUCUGUCACCCAGGCUGGAGUGCAGUGGCGCGAUUUCAGCUCACUGCAACCUCUGCCUCCCGAGUUCAAGCAAUUCUCCUGCCUCAGCCUCCCAAGUAGCUGGGAUUACAGGUGCCCGCCACUAUGCCCAGCUAAUUUUUUGUAUUUUUAGUGGAGACAGGGUUUCACCAUGUUGGCCAGGCUGGUCUUGAACUCCUGACCUCGUGAUUCGCCCACCUUGGCCUCCCAAAGUGCUGGGAUUACAGGCGUGAGCCACUGCGCCCUGCAUUGGUUACCUUUUAUGGUUGGCACUGGAUGGAUGGAUGGCCAUUUAUGGUAGUGAUGCAACAUUUCUCUCAAAAUAAAUUUAAGUCAGUUUAAAAGUAAGCCAGGCCAGGCGCGGUGGCUCACGCUUGUAAUCCCAGCAGUUUGGGAGGCUGAGGCAGGUGGAUCACCUGAGGUCGGGAGUUCAAGAACAGCCUGACCAACAUGGAGAAACCCCGUCUCUACUAAAAAUACAAAAUUAGCCAGGCGUGGUGGCGCACGCCUGUAAUCCCAGCUACUCGGGAAGCUGAGGCAGGAGAAUCGCUUGAACCCGGGAGGCAGAGGUUGCAGUGAGCCGAGAUCGCGCCAUUGCACUCCAGCCUGGGCAACAAAAGUGAAACUCUGUCUCAAAAUAAAUAAAUAAAUAAAUAAAUAAAAGUAAGCCAAUUUGAAGAGGUGAUUAAGUACAUAAUUGUAAAGGUGGUUGAUGAAUAUGCCAAAAACUGUGAAGAUGGGAAGAAGAUGACCGAAGUCUAUCAACAGUUCUUAAAGCAAGACCUGGGAACCCCUGUGAAUGCGUGAUACCCUUUCAGAGGUCUCACACCCAGCUAAUUUUGCAUUUUUAGUAGAGACGGGGUUUCGCCAUGUUGGCCAGGCUGGUCUCAAACUCCUGGCCUCAGGUGAUCUGCCCAUCUUGGCCUCCCAAAGUGCUGGGAUUACAGGUGUACACGAGCCACUGUACCUGGCCAGUUAUUUUUUAAGUUUUUAAAAAAUAUUUUAAUUUUAAUUUUUGUGGGUACAUAGUAGGUGUAUAUAUUUUUGUUAUUUUUAAAUGAAUUAAUAUUUUGAAAAUUUCACACUUUAAAUUUCUAAUAUGGUAAAUAUAGAUAAAGAAAAUCCAAAUGAUUAAAAAAUCUUUGUGAUCCUCAAUAAUUUUUGAGAGUAUAAAGGGAUCAAAAAGGCCAAAAAACUUGAGAACUGCUGAGUAAGAUCAUUCCAAGGGCCCACCCAGUGCUAAAAAUGUCCACAGUUUCAAAAAUGAAACUAUUUAUAGUUUCAGCCUUUUGGGCAACAACAUCUCUUCCAAGUUUUGACCUUUGGUAUAAAACAGGAUGUCCUUGAACGUGUCCUGAAUCAACUUCUUUUAGAGUCCUGGGGGUCUCUCAUGUUCUGUCACUGAGACUCAGUAAACAGACUUAUGUACAUAUGGUAUUGCUAUAGAAUAUGUGCACACAGUGAAGCGCAGUGGCUCAUGCCUGUAAUCCCAGCACUUUGGGGUGCCAAGGCGGGUGGAUCAUUAGGUCAGGAGUUCGAGACCUCCUGGCCAACACAGUGAAACCCUGUCUCUACUAAAAAUACAAAAAUUAGCUGGGCAUGGUGAAGCGUGCCUGUAGUCCCAGCUACUCGGGAGGCUGAGGCAGGAGAAUCGCUUGAACCCAGGAGGCGGAGGUUGUGGUGAGCUGAGAUCGCACCACUGCACUCCAGCCUGGGCGACAGUGCAAGACUCCAUCUCAAAACAAAAGAAUACGUGUACACAUAUAUGUCUGUAACACAGUAACAGUCCUCCUCUGCUAGGUUUAAUAUGUUCAUACUCUAGUUGUCUAACCAGAUAGUCAGGGCUUUGAGGGCAGGAACUGUGUUCUAAAAUAAACCAACGAAUGUGCCUGGCACCUGCCACGGGCUGCUGGGCUGCACACUCAGGCUUUGCCUGCCAGGAUCUUACAGCCUCCCAGGGGAGAUGAGAGCAACACGCAGACCAGUGAAGGGAAGCAGGAUGCUCACUCGGGCCAGGUACUGCGUGUGUCACUUAGACAUUCUGUAGAGGGUGACCAAGUGUCCACCACAACUUUUCCAUAACUCUUCCAGAUAAGUAUUCAUGCCACCAUUUUCCAGAUGAGGAGAUCGAGGCUGACAGGUGACAUGGCUUGCCCAGGGCCAGUCUGUGGCCAGAGCUGUCAUUUUUCCCUCUUGUGCCAUGCAAGUGCCAAACGGAGGCACAGGUGGAAAAGGUACCAAAGCACACAGGAGGUGGUGUUAUUUUGGGCUGAGAGGGGGACUUGGAAGGCUUCCUGAGGGAGGAGUCAGGGUCUGAAAUGAGCUUUGGGUGGGAAGAUGAUUUGGAGCAGCUGAAGAUAGGAGGGAGACAGUGGGGAGGAGUGCUCCAGUCCGGACAGCCCUCCUGCAUUCCCACCAGCCCCACAGGGCAGGACACGUGGUCCCGGGCUCACCGACAUGGCCAGGUGCAGCGGGGUGUUGCCAUGCUCUCCGCGGGCAUCCGCGUUGGCCCCGUGGGUCAGCAACACUAUGGCGCAGUCGAAGCGGUUGCGCAUCACCGCCACGUGCAGGGCCGUGUUCCCUGCGGAGCUGGUGCUGUUCACGUGGCAGCCCCGUUUCAGCAGCAUGCGGGCCAUCUGCAGGAGACGGUCAGGCCGAGUUAGCACAGGCACUAGGGGAGUUGCCGUACCCUGGGACACGUGGGCACUGCCACUUCCGCUCUGAGAGGCCUACAGGUACUGGGACGUUGGAAAGCACUAGCAACAGGAUUCCAGGGGCAGGCCCCAGUUCUAGGGGGGGGCCUAGACUGCCUCCCAUACCAUCAGCAUCCCAAGACUAGGGACAAAAAGCCAAAGAUGUGCUGACUGUUUUAUGAGGCUUCUGGUCCUUUCCUAGCGCCAACAGAACCCACUCUCCUUGCAAAGGCUCCUCUGGGGCCUGUCCUGAAGCACCCUGCUCCGUGCAUCCCCCCCGGAACCCUGCAAAGGUAUCACCUCUCACUGGGCCUUGGCAGUGCACAUCCCUGGGAGAGCCUUGGGACCAGGGAGGGGAGCCUGGCUUUGGAGUCACAGACCUGAGCCCAAAGCCCAGCUCCACUCAUACCAGCUGCCUGCGCUUGGACGGGUCACUGUAGCCAUGUGCACCUCAGGUUUCUCUUCUGUGAAGAUGGGAAUGCAAGUCCCCACCUCACAGCAUGUGAUGACAAUGAGUGACCAAACCUACACAGAAGGGCCUGACUCGGUGUCCAGCUCCUGGAACGCGGAGGUACCCCCGAGGCUGGCAGUGCCCUUCCUCCUGGCCCAUCACAUUGAGAAGUAGGCCAUGAACUCUGGGGCAUCCCAUUCCCUGUCAAGCUGUGCUUCCUGGUGAUGAGACCAGAGGCCUCCAUCCUCCCAGGAGGACAGAGCUUAGCUUAGGGGAAGAACUCAGAGGAGAUGCCCAGCCAGGCUCCCUGUGUGUGCAGCUAGGCCCAGCACCACCACCACCAUCAUCAUUGAUCAUCAUCAUCAUCGUCUUGAUGGUUAAUAAUGAGUGUCAACUUGAUUGGAUUGAAGGAUGUAAAGUAUUGACCCCGGGUGUGUCUGAGAGGGUGCUGCUAAUGGAGAUUAACAUCUGAGUCAGUGGGCUGGGGAAGGCAGACCUACCCUUAAUCUGGGUGGGCACCAUCUAAUCAGCUGCCAGCACAGCCAGAAUAUAAAGCAGACGGAAAAAAAUGUGAAAAGGCUAGACCGGCUUAGCCUCCCAGCCUACAUCUUUCUCCCGUGCUGGAUGCUUCCUGCCCUCAAACAUCAGACUCCAAGUCCUUCAGCUUUCGGACUUGGACUGGCUUCCUUGCUCCUCAGCUUGAGAUGGCCUAUUGUGGGACCUUGUGAUCGUGUGAGUUAAUGCUUCUUAAUAAACCCCCCUUUAGGCCAGGCGCAGUGGCUCACCCCUGUAAUCCCAGCACUUUGGGAGGCCAAGGCAGGCGGAUCACGAGGUCAGGAGAUCGAGACCAUCCUGGCUAACAUGGUAAAACCCCGUCUCUACUAAAAAUACAAAAAAAUUAGCCAGGUGUGGUGGCGGGCACCUGUAGUCCCAGCUACUCAGGAGGCUGAGGCAGGAGAAUGGUGUGAACCUGGGAGGCAGAGCUUGCAGUGAGCCAAGAUUGUGCCACUGCACUCCAGCCUGGGCGACAGAGCGAGACUCCAUCUCAAAAAAAAUUAAAUAAAUAAAUAAACCCAUAUAUAUAUAUCCUAUUAGUUCUGGCCCUCUAGAGAAUCCUGACUAAUAAUAGAAUCAUCAUCACGCCACCUUCUAUUUGGGAAGCACUUUACAAUUUGUGCCAAGUUUUGUCACACACUGCCUUGCUGACUUCACCACAUCUCCAAAGCAGAAUUCAUGGAUGAGGAAACUGAGGCACAGGGCGGAUCCCCCCGCCCAGCCAGACAGCAGCAGAGCCCUGCCAGGAUCCCAGCUCUUCAUGGUCUUCUCUGCCUACAGACCCACUGCAAGGUCAGCCCCCAAGUGCUAGCCUCAGGGUCCUCUUGGGAACCCGCUUCCUGAGGGCCCUGAGGACCUGGGGGGCCCAGCCCCCUGCCCUACCCACCUACCUCAGGAUCCACUCACCUCUGCGUUCUUGGCCCAGUGGAGGGGACUGGCUCCGUAACGGGGGUCUUUGCUGUGGAUCUGGCUGCUGUCCAUGCUGAUGAUCAUCUCCGCACACCUGGGGAGAGAGGGGCCCCGGCUGGUGAGCAGAGGCUGGGGUCCGCGUGGCGUGGGAUGAAGCCAGGACUUGGAGCUUCAUCUACUGCUUACAGAGAGCAUCACUGCAAACAAAGUUCAGCAAACCCAACCAGCACACUCACCAUGGUUAAGGCUGUACUGAGUCCCUCAAGGCACAACUAACCCCCUCCUCCAGGAAGCCUUCCUGAUGACUGCCACCAGCAAUGAUCACCCUCCUUGGUGCUGGCUUUAGAGUUAGAUGGGCUUGAAGUCAAGCCCCAGCUUCUUCACUGGUGGCCUCCAGAAGCUGACCAACAUGGAGAGAGUGCUGAGAGGAGUGGCUGGGGUGUAAGGAAGACCAGGCAUUUCAGAGCCCAGUUCUGCCUGGCACACAGCCACCCUCCACCUCCUUUUACCACACUGUCAGUGAGUCACACAGUGACCUGCAUGCUAUAGGAAGCAGUAUGACAGAGUGGGAAAGAGCACAAUUGCUUUCUACUCAGUGUCUGAGGCAAGCAGUGUCCACCAUAUAUCUUAACAUCUCCAGCCUCAGAGCAGAGGCCCCGGGUUCACAAGCCUCAUUAGGCCCGGCCUGGCCCGAAGAAAGUGCUCCAUCAUUGUAUUAUGGGUAGGAAUCUCGGUUCACAAGUUCAGCUGUGCAAGGAGGAGACUUUAAAAUUUUUCUGGCUGGGCGCGGUGGCUCACGCCUGUAAUCCCAACACUUUGGGAGGCUGAGGCAGGCGGAUCACCUGAGGUCGGGAGUAUCAAAGGAUGGAACUCAGGGACUUGAAUGGACAUUUGCAGACCCAUGUGCACAGCAGCAUUCUUCACAACAGACAAAAGGUGGAAACAACCUAGGCGUCUAUCAGUGAAGGACUGAAUGGAUAAACAAAAUAGUAUUCUGCCUUAAAAAGAAAGGAAAUUCUGAUACGUGCUACAACAUGGAUGAACCUUGAAGACAUCAUGCUAAGUGAAAUAAGCCACGCACAAAAGGACAAUGCUGUAUGAUUUCACUGAUACAAGGUUCUAGAACAGGCAAGUUCUGAGAGACAGAGAGGAUAUGAGAGGUUAUCAGGGGCUGUGGGGAGGGGAGAAUUGGGAGUUAUUAAUGGUUACAGUUUCUGUUUCAGGUGAUAAAAGUUUUAGAAAGAGGUGAUGGUUGGACAACAUUGUAAAUGUGAUUAAAACCACCGAAUUGUACACUUAAAAGUGGCUAAAAUGGGCCUGGCGUGGUGGCUCACGCCUGUCAUCCCAGCACUUUGGGAGGCCGAGGUGGGUGGAUCACCUGAGGUCGGCAGUUCGAGACCAGCCUGACCAACAUGGAGAAACCCUGUCUCUACUAAAAAAUACAAAAUUAACUGGGCAUGGUGGUGCAUGCCUGUAAUCCCAGCUACUACUCAGGAGGCUGAGGCAGGAGAAUCACUUGAACCCAGGAGGUGGAGGUUGCAGUGAGCCAAGAUCGCGCCAUUGCACUCCAGCCUGAGCAACAAGAGCGAAACUCUGUCUCAAAAACAAAAAACAAAAAACCAAAGUGGUUAAAAUGGCUAAUUUAAUGUUAUAUAUAAUUUACCACAGUUGAAAAAAUCAACAUAAUAUAUCAGAACCAUUGUAUACUUUCAAUAGGUGGAUUGUAUGGAAUAGGAACUAUAUCUCAAUAAAGCUUUUUUUUUUUUUUUUUUUAGUGCAAUUACUAGGACAGCCCACAUGGGUUUAAUUCCCAGGUCUGGCACUUACUGACUGCCUGACUCUGAGUAAGUUACUUAACCUCUCUAAGCCUUAGUUUCCUCAUCUGUUUUUGGUUUGUUUGUUUGUUGUUUGUUGUUUGAGAUUGUUUGAGACAGGAUUUCCCUUUGUCACACAGGCUGGAGAGCAAUGGCAUGAUCAUAGCUCACUGUAGCCUCAGACUCCUGGGCUCAAGCCUCAGCCUCCCAAAGUGCUGGGAUUAGAGGCAUGAGCCACCACACUUGGCCCUCAGCUUUAAAAGGGGAAUAAAAUACAUCGGCUGUCUGGGCUAUAGUGAAAUAGCCCACAUGAAGGCUAAGCCGGUGGCUGGGACAGCGUUAGUGUUCAGCUGCUCUUCUCUAUUAUUAGGGGUGCCCAGCGCAGGCCCAGGAUUUAUGCUGCCCAGCUCCCUACAGCCCUUUUGCCAGGGCUUGGUGCUCAGCACUAGGCACAUGGAAUCAGACCCAGCUUCUUUCCCUAGGCCCUCUGGAGCCCCUCAAGUCUUCACCCAAGUGGCCAGCUCCGGCUAGUGUCCACGGCUUGGCUGGGGCUCUGCUGCCUCCAAGCCUUCCCUGAACUCCAGCUGCCUGAGUGCUGUCUCUGAGCUCCUAGUGCAGCCCCCAGGCAUUCUCAGUCUCAGCCUCCAUCUCACUGUCUGGGAUUAUCUGUUUCCCUUCCCCAGCAGGGGCUUAACCAUCUGAGAACCGCAGGCACAAACCCAGCUUUGUGGGAAAGGUCGGCUGCAUUGAAAAGCAGCAGAGGUGGCCGGGGGCGGUGGCUCACGCCUGUAAUCCCAGCAUGUUGGGAGGGCAAGGCAGGUAGAUCACCUGAGGUCAGGAGUUCAAGACUAGCCUGGUCAACAUGAUGAAACCCCAUCUCUACUAAAAAUACAAAAAUUAGCUGGGCAUGGUAGCGCACACCUGUAAUCCCAGCUCCUUGGGAGGCUGAGGCAGGAGAAUCAGUUGAACCUGGGAGGCAGAGGUUGCAGUGAGCCAAGAUCAGGCCAUUUUGCACUCCAGCCUGGGUGACAGAGUGAAACUCUGUCUCAAAAACAAAACAAAGAAAAGAAAAGAAAAAGAAAAAGAAAAACAGCGAGGGAGCUCCUAGUCUGAGCUGUGAGGGAACCACCUGUUAGUAACACUGAGGCUGUGCGAUUCUUGGAGUAGGGCUGUGCUGGCUGCCAUGUCGAUAAGGGAUCUCCCUGCUCCACUCAAGGUAGGAGCCUCUUCCUUUGUCUUCUGUGCAAAGAUUCUCUUAUGUGAUGGGACGCUGGACCCACCCAGGAUGGCCUGUGUGGAGACAGAGGGACCGGUGAGGGCUGAGGUUGUUUGAAGAGAGAGAAAACAGGUCAAUUACAGCUCCUGCCCAGUACAGCUCAGGGUGGCUGGAGACAGGCAACAGUGGGGCUAUGUGCCAGCCCUUUGGGUAGAGAAGAGCACCACCUGUCACCUGGUGUCCACUCAGGUCACAACCUGCAAAUGGGGAACCUGACUGCGGGGCUGGGGGUGUUGGUAUCUUCUCUGUUUGGUCGACUAUUUCUGAAAGUUCUAGCUCAUUCUGGUGUGCUUGGGAGAUUCAAGGAAAGGAGGGUUUGUCCAGGCUUGGUCCAGCCCUUAGAAGGGCUAGCAAUGCCCCAUAGGGCUAGCAAGGUGGAUGCAGCUCCCAGAGGAAGGAACAACCUGAGGACAGGCACGAGUGCCAGUCUCCCUGCCUGAGUGCUGGCCGCCCAUGCCUUCUCACUGCUUGUCUGGCACUGUGCUGGGAGGUUCUGGGUGGCUGGGGUGUCUCCUGUCCCAGAGUGGCUUAUUCAUUUCAGUGAGGCCGGUGCUUUAGCACAGUGCCAGGAUCGAAGGACUCAUUGGCUCAUUCAUUCAUUCUAGAUGUUGUUCCUGUUAGAUGGUAUUUUUUUUUUUUUUUUUUUUUUUGAGAUGGAGUCUUGUUCUGUCGCCCUGGCUGGAAUGCUGUGGCACGAUCUCGAAUCACUGCGACCUCUGCCUCCCAGUUUCAAACAAUUCUCCUGUCUCAGCCUCCUGAGUAGCUGGGACUACAGGCACACGCCACCACAAGCUUGCUAAUUUUUGUAUUUUUAGUAGAGACAGGGUUUCACCAUAUUGGUCAGGCUGGUCUAGAACUCCUGACUUCAGGUGAUCCACCCACCUUGGCCUCCCAAAGUGCUGGGAUUACAGGCGUGAGCCACCGCGCCUGGCCUAGAUAGUAUUUUGAGAUUUGAGAUAUUCAUCUCUUUUAUCCUUUUUAUCUCAUCCCCCACCCCUUUGAAAAUAAUUUUCCUGACACCAGGGUUUCCCAGGCUCCCAAAACAUGAGCCUGCACCUGCCUCCCAACGGUGCCACCAGCCAGAAAGGAAAGAGGCAUCUAGGUGGACGGGCGCUCGGCCACCUUACCAAGCAUUUCCCAGGCUUUGAGCUGGGCACACAAGAAACCAAGGGGCACUGAAGCCAUCAGGGGGGCUGUUCAGAUCAGGCUGGGCUGGGUUAGAGGAGGGGCCAGGUGAGCCUUGGGGUUGCAUCAGACUCCAGACCUGGAGUACCAUCUGGAGGGGAGCUGGAAAGAGGAGACCCCAAAGAGGGCUAAGAUUGGUUGUCUCCAGUUUUAUAGAGGGAGAUUCACUCCUAGGAAUUAAGGUACAUUAUAGAAAUUUAUUUUUAUUUAUUUAUUUAUUUAUUUUUUGAGACGAAGUUUUGCUCUUAUUGCCCAGGCUGGAGUGCAACGGUGCGAUCUCGGCUCACUGCAACCUCCACCUCCCGGGUUCAACCGAUUCUCCUGCCUCAGCCUUCCGAGUAGCUGGGAUUACAGGCAUGUGUCACCACGGCCGGCUAAUUUUGUAUUUUUUAGUGGAGAUGGGGUUUAUUCAUGUUGGUCAGGCUGGUCUUGAACUCCCGACCUCAGGUGAUCUGCCCGCCUCUGCCUCCCAAAGUGUUGGGAUUACAGGCGUGAGCCACUGCGCCCAGCCAGAAAAAUUUUAAAGUCUCCUCCUUGCACAGCUGAACUUGUGAACUGAGAUUCCUACCCAUGAUACAAUGAUGGAGCACCUUCUUUGGGCCAGGCCGGGCCUAAUGAGGCUUGUGAAUCCGGGGCCUCUGCUCUGAGGCUGGAGAUGCUAAGAUCUAUGGUGGACACUGCUUGCCUCAGGCACGGGACAGGUGACAGGAGAGCUGGAGCCCAGCAGGCCAGCAGAUGGGGAGGGGAGGAGGUCUUACCCCUUCUGAGAGAACUUCAUGGCCGAAUGGAUGGGGUAGCCAUUGGGGCCCAUGAUGUUGCAGCGAGCGUUGCACAGCAGCAGCACGCGGACCAUCUCCUGCUUCCCCAGCUGGCAGGCCAGGUGCAGCGGGGUCAGCCCUUGGUUAUUCACCUGAUUCAGGCCAGCCACUGCGUUCCUUCCAAGGAGCUGAUGAAAGAGGAAGGGAAGUUUGACUCCAUAGGAUGCUGAUAAGAACGUAAAGAGGCCGAGAGCAGUGGCUCAUGCCUGUAAUCCUAGCACUUUGGGAGGCCAAUGUGGGUGGAUCACCUGAGGUCAAGAGUUUGAGACCAGCCUGGCCAACAUGGUGAAAUGUCGUCUCUUCUAAAGAUACAAAAAUUAGCCGGGCAUGGUGGCAGGCACCUGUAAUCCCAGCUACUCAGGAACCUGAGAAAAGAGAAUCGUUUGAACCCAGGAGGCAGAGGUUGCAGUGAGCUGAGAUUGCGUCAUUGCACUCUAGCCUGGGCAAUAGAGCAAAAACUCUACCUAAAAAAAAAAACGUAAAGAGAAGCACCAGGAAAGCCAAGUGCCAGUGUGGAUGGGAGGGAGGCGGUCGACCUGGCAUGACUGUGGCUCACAUGAAACAUUUCUGAGUCAAGGAACUUAAAAGGUAGCUGUGUCUCAGGAUGGGCACUGGGGGUCCAGGUGGGAGUGAUUCUUGCUUUUCAUUCUGUCCUGAUUGAUUUUUUUUCUACAUGCAGGUACUAUGUUUCCAGUGAAAGAACAGCAGUAUUAAAAAGAGAGCUAGGGGCCACGUGCAGUGGCUCAUGCCUGUAAUUCCAACACAUUGGGAGGUGAGAGGAUCACUUGAGACCAAGAGUAUGAUACCAGCCUGGGCAACAUAGGGAGACCCCAUCUGUACCAAAAAAAUUUUAAAAAUUAGCCGGUGUGGGCUGGGUGUGGUGGCUCACGCCUGUAAUCCCAGCACUUUGGGAGGCCAAGGCAGGCUGAUCACAAGGUCAGGAGACCAAGACCAUCCUGGCGAACAUGGUGAAACGCCAUCUCUACUAAAAAUACAAAAAAAAUUUGCCAGGCGUGCUGGUGGGCACCUGUAGUCCCAGCUACUCCGGAGGCUGAGGCAGGAGAAUGGCGUGAACCCGGGAGACGGAGCUUGCAGUGAGCCGAGAUCGCGCCGCUGCACUCCAGCCUGGACGACAGGGCAAGACUCCGUCUCAAAAAAAAAAAAAAAUUAGCCCGUGUGGUGGCACGAGCCUGUAGUCCCAGCUGCUCAGGAGGCUGAGGUGGGAGGAUCACCUGAGCCCAGGAGGUCGAGGCUGCAGUGAGCCAUGAUCACACCACCGCACUCCAGCCUGGGCGACAGAGCUAGAUCCUGUCUCAAAAAAAAGAAAGCGCUUGGCUCAAUGCUGUCCCCAUGAGGUUCAUUACAACCACAGUGUACCCAUGUGACAGCAGGGUCACCUCACAGCAGUCCCACUGGACCUGGAGGCAGGCCAGAGACACAGCAGGGAGAGCAAGGGGCUGGCAUCGAGGCCAAUGGAAGGUCAAGCCCCACUCUCUCAGCUUUGUGGCCCUCCCUGGGCACGCUUCUUAACAACACUGAACCUCAGUUUCUUCGGAGAGGAAAGGGGAAUAAUGACCUCCACCCCAUGAGUGUAUUCUGAGAAUUAACUAGAACACAUACAACACUCAGUUCAGGGUCAGGCACCAGUCAGCACCGGAUAAAGGACAGCCGCAGUCGUGCAUGACUAUCGAGAAGCGGGUGUGCACGCCCCCGCGUGGAGGCAGAGUCUGCGAGGCACCGUACUGGGUGUGCAGAGGAUUCUCUGCAAAAAUGCAGUUCAAUGGUGGGUGGAGAAUUCCCUUCCCUGAGAGCAAGAAGCAUAAGAUAUGAAUCCACAUUUUCUGGGCCAGGCACAGUGGCUCACACCUGUAAUCCUGGCAUUUUGGGAGGCUGAGGCGGGUGGAUCACUUAAGGCCAGGAGUUGGAGACCAGCCUGGGCAACAUGGCAAAACUCCAUCUCUACUAAAAUAUGGAAAUUACCCAGGCAUAGUGGCACAUGCCUGUAAUCCCAGCUACUCAGGAAGCUGAGGCACGAGCAUCACUUGAACCCAAGAGGUGGAGGUUGCAGUGAGCCGAGAUCGCACCACUGCACUCCAGCCUGGGAGACACAGGGAGACUCUGUCUCAAAAAAAAAAAAAAAAAAGGAAUCCACAUUUUCUGGUAUAACGUAGUUGCAUUCUGAUGCCAAGGCAGAGAGAACAUGAUCUUUAGAAAGAAUUUUCUAAUUCUAGACAAUAAAACAUAAUCCAACAUUCUGCCUUUUCUGUUCAAUCUAAUAUAUGAAAUAGCUAUUUAAUAGUAUCACGCCAUCUGCUUGCCCACAAUUAAAAAAUCACAUCUUUUGCCCAGGUAAUCAAAAACGUUAACAGGAGGGCCUCUGGCACAAACGCCUACAGGAACUGGAGAGAGUUUGGUUUGCUUGGUUUGAAUUCCUGUAAAACAGGGGUGUCCAAUAUUUUGGCCUCCCUGGGCCACAUUGGAAGAAGAAUUGUCUUGGGUCACACAUAAAAUACAUGAACGCUAACGACAGCUGAUCUAAAAAAAAGGUCCAGGCAUGAAUCUCAUAAUGUUGUAAGAAAGUUUGUGAAUUUGUGUUGGGCCACAUUCAAAGCCGUCCUGGGUUGCAUGCAGCCUGCAGGGCCACAGAUUGGACAAGCUUGCUAAAGGUUAAGCCCAGGUCCCGCUGGCCCACGAGCCCCUCCAGGCAGGCAUCUGGCUCACAGUUUGUGCUCAGGAAAAGCGGAACUGAACUGACUGGAGCUGGGCCUUUUUUGGGGUUUAUUUUGCUGGGUUGGAGGUCAUCCCCAGGUUUAUCAAGCAAAGAGACUGAGGACGUGGCUCCUGGAAAAGGGCUGGGAGGGAAGAGCCAGGGAGGGCUCUGCACCCUCCAUGAAGGAGCUCAGGCCUCAAGGAUCAAUGGGGGACAGUGAGAGGCCUGAGAGUGACACCUGAGCCCAGGGGCCCAAAGGGAACUGUGGACACCGGGAGGUAUCAGUACCAGUCACCCUGCCCCCUCCCCCUGCUCACCUGCAGCACCUGAGAAUUGUCACCCUGGACAGCAUAAUGGAAGACGGUCUCUCCCUUGUAGUCGGUGACAUCCAUCCGAGCGUGGCAGUACUGCACCAGCUCCACCAGGAUCUCCCCAUCACCCUUGCGACAGGCCAGGUGCAGGGGUGUGCAGCCCUCCUCGUUCUCCGUGCAAUUGGCACAGCUGCAGGAGAGGGCCAGGGUGAGCAGAGGUGAGCAGGUGUGGCACAAGGUGGCAGGGGGACCUAAGUGCACAUACAGGGAAGUGCGCUCGGAAACUCAGAUUUUCUGGUUUAUUUGAGCUCAAGAGCAUUCCCGCCACUCAGCUAGUUAGGCUGAUUUGAAUGUAAUUAUAUCUGAUGUGACCUGUAUCAGGUUUCUGUUCAGUUUGCUCACUUAUACAAGAGAUGGGCCCAAACCACACCAGCAGGAAGUAGGCAGGGUGGUGGCACAGGAAAGGGUCACAGAACACGGAUAUCUCACUAGCCUCGGGCAAUUCACUUAACCUUCCUGGGCGUCAAUAUCCUUAUCCACACAACCUGCUGUGCCUGCUCCAGGAAAUGGACAGAGCGGUGGUGAGAUGAGACUCUGUGCUGUCUAAGAGCACGCCUGGAAACUAAAGUGCAGUGAGGGCUUUUGUUUUGUUUUGUUUUUUUGAGGUGGAGUUUCACUCUUGUUGCCCAGGCUGUAAUGCAGUGAUGCAAUCUUGGCUCACUGCAACCUCCGCCUCUGGGUUCAAGCAAUUCUCCUGCCUCAGCCUCCCGAGUAGCUGGGAUUACAGGCGGGCGCCACCACACCUUGCUAAUUUUUUGCAUUUUUAGUAGAGACAGGGUUUCACCAUGUUGGCCAGGCUGAUCUCAAACUCCUGACCUCAAGUGAUACGCCAGCCUCGGCCUCACAAAUUGCUGGGAUUACAGGUGUGAGCCACCACGCCCAGCCAGCAGUGAGGUUUUGAGUUCUGGGCCUGGGAGCUUAACUGAGCCAUCUAGGAUAGAGACUCAGAGGAGGUGUGGGCUACCUCUGCACAAGAUGGCCAACUGGUGUCCUGUGCAAGGGUGGGGACAGUGCCCUCACCAGGGGCAACCGCUGCUCCAUCUGCUGGCUGAAUGGAUUCACAAAAGGAGGCCUUCAGCUUCCAGAAGAGCAGCCUGGAAGCAGACACCAAGGAUCCAAGCCCCUCUAUCACCCUCUCUGGCUGAGUGACCUGCACAAGCCCUGUUAGCUCUCUCUAGAAUGAUGAUACCUGGGCCGGGCAUGGUGGCUCACACCUGUAAUCCCAGCACUUUGGGAGGCCAAGGAGGGCAGAUCACCUGAGGUUAGGAGUUCGAGACCAACCUGGCCAACAUGGUGAAACCCUGUCUCUACUAAAAACACAAAAAUUACCCAGGCAUGAUGGCACAUGACUGUAGUCCCAGCUAUUCGGGAGGCUGAGGCAGGAGAAUCACCUGAACCCAGGAGGCAGAGGUUGCAGAGAGCCAACAUUGUACCACUGUACUCCAGCCUGGGUGACAGACUAAGACUCCAUCUCAAAAUAAAAUAAAAUUAAAAUAAAUUAAAAUAAAAUAAAUAAAAUAACGAUACCUUGUGGGGGUUGGGAAAAUUCAAUUUCAUGGCAGGUAGAAAUCAGCUCCCACAGACCUGGCACCUGGUGAGCACGCCAGACUCUGGAAACAUUACAUUGCCCUUCUUACAUUUUAAUCCGGUAGCAAUGCAGUGCCUUUUUUUUUUUUUUUUUUUCCUAGAGACAAGGUCUCAUUCUGUCACCCAGGCUGAAGUGCAGUGGUGCAAUCAUAGCUCACUGUAAAUUCUAACUCCUGGGAUCAAGCAAUCCUCCUGCCUCAGCAUCCCAAGUAACUAGGACUACAGACACAUGCUAAUUUUUUAAUUUUUUCAUAGAGACAAGGUCUUGCUAUUUUGCCAGGCUGGUCUUGAACUCCUAGCCUCAAGUGAUCCUCCCUCCUCAGCCUCCCAAAGUGCUGGGACUGCGUUAGUGAGCAACCAUGCCAGGCCCUGCUCCUUUUUAAGUCAAACUAUGGAGGGGAACCGAGGCCUGCGGCCCCCACUGCCCACACAAGCAGGUACACACACGUUGUCCAAAUGGUCUUGUUCCCUUGCUCACCUGAUGAUACGGCUGUGAUGGAAGCACUCGCGGAUCCCUAGCUCCACAGCCAGGUGGGCCACUGACCAGCUGGGGUGGUUGCGGAUGAGGUCGGUCAGGUGCUGCAGGACCUCAGUGUGCAGGACCUGGGGGGAGCUCUCAUAGAAGGGUAGCAGCUGGGAAGAAUACUGCUGGAAAUUCACCAGGGCGUCAGCCUCCAACUCCAGCUGGAAGAGUCUGUAGAGCCAGGACAGAGGAGCAAGACCCGAAAUGAGACAGGCGGGACCCUCGGCCCACAUCCCUGCUGGAAUCAGAAGGUUCCCAGACUGCAGCCUGGCCUGCUCCAGCCUGACUCCCCUCCCAAGUGCACACACACACACACACACACACACACCUAUACACAUGUAAAUGACAUAAUGGCGUUUAGGUUAGACUUUCUUUGUUUUUUAGAGACAAGGUCUUGUUCUGUAACCCAGGCUGGGGUGCGGUGGUGUGAUCAUGACUCACUGCAUCUUCGAAUUCCUGGGCUGAAGGGAUCCUCCUACCUUAGUUCCUGAGUAGCUGGGAUUACAGGCACGCACCACCACGCCCAGCUAAUUUUUUUUUUUUUUUUUUUUGAGACAGAGUCUCGUUUUGUCACCCAGGUUGGAGUGCAGUGUUGUAAUCUCAUCUCACUUCGACCUUCACCUCCCGGGUUCAAGCAAUUCUCCUACCUCAGCCUCCAGAGUAGCUGGGAUUAAAGGCGUGUGCCGCCACACCUGGCUAAUUUUUUGUGUUUUUAGUAGAGACGGGGUUUGGCCAUGUUGCCCAGGCUGGACUCGAACUCCUGAGCUCAGGCAAUCCACCCCCCUCAGCCUCUCAAAGUGCUAGGAUUUCAGGCACUAGCCACCAUGAGCCACUGCGCCUGGCCUAAUUUUUUUUAUUUUUGUAGACAGGGGGUCUUGCUAUGUUGCCCAGGCUGGUCUUGAACUCCUGGCCUCAAGUGUUCCUCCUGCCUCAGCCUCCACAAGUACUGGGAUUACAGGUGUGAACCACUAUACUUGUCUAGAUUUUCUUUUAUUUUGAAAAACUUUCCUUUUCUUUGGUAAUAUCAUUUAUUACUUUUAUAUUUUAUUUUACCACAGCCCUGCCAUAUCCACUUUCUAAUUUAAUUGCCACAUCUGAGAGCCCCAGCCUCGAGUACUUGGCCCCUGUUCAUAGCAGGAACUAAGUAAGUAUUGUUUAACCUAAAUGUACAGCAACAAAAUAUUAUAAAAUAUUAUAUAAAUUAUGGUAUAACUAUGUAAUAAACUAUUAUGCAGUCAUUAAAAUGAGAUAUUUAAAAAAAGGGAAAUUUUUCUUUUUCUUUUUCUUUUUUUUUUUUUUUGAGAUGGAGUCUCAUUCUUGUUGCCCAGGCUGGAGUACAAUGGCACGAUCUCGGCUCACUGCAGCCGCCAUCUCCUAGGUUCAAGUGAUUCUCCUGCCUCAGCCUCCCGAGUAGCUGGGAUUACAGGCACCCGCCACCAUGCCCGGCUAAUUUUUUGUAUUUUUAGAAGAGACAGGGUUUCGUCAUGUUGGCCAGGCUGAUCUUAAACUCCUGGCCUCAGGUGACCUGCCUGCCUGGGCCUCCCAAAGUGCUGGGAUUACAGGCAUGAGCCACUGCGCCCGGCCAGCUUUGUUCAUUUUUAAGUGUUGAGGCUGAGUCCAAGUUUUGCUACUAAGGUGCUGUGUGAUCUUGGGAAAUCUUUUUCCCUCUCUGAGCCCCAUUUGAAACAUGAGACUAACUGUACCUGUCCUACCUACCUCCCAGACGUGCUGUGAGGACAGAUGAAAAAGCACUAUGAAAGCACUUUCAAAACCAUAACCAUUACAUGUCAGUGAUUGUUACUUAAAGUUCUGACCAGGGCUUUUAACAUACCAGAAGGUUUUGUCUUGCAUACCUCUACAGGCGCAGCAGCCAGCCAGAGUCUAGUGAAGGCAGUGCCCAGAGAGUGUUGGUUCAACAGGACCAGCCUGUUGUUCCACAGAGAGUGCGUCGAUUAACAAUUAACUACUGGGCAUGUGAUCUGUGCCAAAUGGAGGGGUCAAUUAAUGAACAAUUGCAUAAAAUGCUCUGCCCUCCUGAAGUCUUUUUUUUUUUUUUUUUUUUUUUUUUUUGAGACAGAGUCUCACACUGUCACCCAGGCUGGAGUGCAGUGGCGCGAUCUCAGCUCACUGCAACCUCUGCCCCCUGGGUUCAAGUGAUUCUCCUGCAAUUCUCCUGCCUCAGCCUCCCUAGUAGCUGGGAUUACAGGCGUGUGCUAUCACGCCCAGCUAAUUUUUGUAUUUUUAGUAGGGACAGGGUUUCGCCAUGUUGGCCAGGCUGGUCUCCAACUCCUGACCUCAAGUGGUCCACCCAUCUUGGUCUCCCAAAGUGCUGGGACUACAAGCGUGAGCCACUGCACUUGGCCUGAGCCUAUGUUAUUAUGGAGGAGAUCAACAAAAUGACUAAAGUAAAGACAUAGAAUAAGGAAGUACAUUAAAUAAACUAUAAGGUAAUCAGUGUUAUAGAAACAACAAAAACCACAACAAAGGUAGGGAAGGAGGAGGUGGAAGGAAGCCAUUCCUCAUUGCCCUUGGCUGGGUUUUUCCUUCAUCUCACCAGCCUCUCAACAUCAGGGCACUCCACAUCAAGUGUUGCCGAUAUGUCAGAGAAUGACAACUGAAAACUGAUCACUGGAAUUAGCAUCACGGAGGCAUGCACGACCUUGACAACAUUACUUUUAGUGGAAUGGUCGGAACCAAGGCCUGAUUAAAGUGGGUUUAAGGACAAGAUGUGAGAAUCUGAAGAUUGCAAAGACAGAUAUUUUUGAGGAGUUUUGCUGUGGAGAGGAGCAAAUAAAGGAAGGGGUAGCAAAUGGGGAAAGUGUAAUCAGGCAUUUGAAUGCUGAUGGGAACGAUGAUUCUCUCUCAGAACUUCCACUUUCCAUUAACAGCAGACUAGGGAAUGUGAAACAGACCACCUACAGAGGACAGCCAGAAAUGCUGGACAAAUUAUUAAAAAACAUCUGCUGGCAGGCACUGGAUACUUCAAAAGACACUGAUGACUCACCAGGCUGGAAGGAAUGAUGGAAACCCAGGAAUUGAGCUCAGUGUUCAGGUGGCUGUUACUGGAGAGGAUGGGCAGAUGAGCGGCACCAGUAACAGCCUCGUGGAGCUCAGGAUACAGGGACUGGAGCCCAGGGGUCUGCCAAGAGGAGAGCCCCGAUGAACAUCUCUUACUUUGGGUUAGGGUCCUAAAGAACUACGUAGCCUAGGAAUAAGGGUCAGCCAUACACAGACACGCUCUCACAGGGACCACAGUUUAGCCUCAAGUAAUUUCAGUUCCAGAAACUAGACUGAGGUUAUGGAGUCUCGCUCUGUCACCCAGGCUGGAGUGCAGUGGCACGAUCUCGGCUCACCCCAACCUCUGCCUCCUGGUUCAAGCAAUUCUCCUGCCUUAGCCUCCCGAGUAGCUAGGAUUACAGGAACCUGCCACCAUGCUCGGCUAGUUUUUUGUAUUUUUAGUAGAGAUGGGGUUUCACCGUGUUACCCAGGAUGGUCUUGAUCUCCUGAUCUCGUGAUCCACCUGCCUCAGCCUCCCAAAGUGCUGGGAUUACAGGCAUGAGCCACCGUGCCCGCCCGUUCCAGAUUAUUUCUACAAGCAUACUUGCAAAUACAAUGACCAACACAUAAUCAAAACUCACCAGGCAUAUGUGGAGAUAAGACAUGAAAGAAAACCAACAGAAACAAUAUACAAAAGAAACAUAUCUGUAAGUGAGGGGACUGUAAAUAUUUAAGUUAUCCAAAAUAGACUUUAAAGUAACUGUGAUAACAUUCAAGAGGUUAAAAAAGGAAAUUUAGAAUUUUGGCAAAGAGUUUUGAAUGAUCAAAAAAGGAUCAAAUGAAAAGUACAGAAUUAAAAAGUAUAAUCAGGAAAGAGUAAACAGAAUAAAGCAUGGAGAGACAAAAGUAUACAAAAUAUAGUAGAGUACGUAAGAGACAUAGACUAUCUAAUAAAAGAUCUAGCAUACACAUAUAAGUGGAGGGUCAGAGGCAGAGUAGAAAAAGAAUAAAAUGGAAGCCACAUUUGAAGCGUUAAUGUCUGCAAACUUUCCAAAACUGAUUUUUAAAAAACAUUAUAGGUCAGGCACAGUGGCUCAUACUUGUAAUCCCACCACUUUGGGAGGCUGAGGUGGGUGGAUCACCUGAGGUCAGGAAUUCCAGACUAGCCAUGGCAAAACGCUGUGUCUACUAAAAAUACAAAAAUCAGCUGGGCAUGGUGGUGGGUGCCUAUAAUACCAGCUACUUGGGAGGCUAAGGCAGGAGAAUCGCUUGAACCAGAGGGGCGGAGGUUGCAGUGAGCCGAGAUCACACCACUUCACUCCAGCUUAGGCAAAAGAGUGAAACUCCAUCUCCAAAUAAAUAAAUAAAUAAAUAAAUAAAUAAAUAAAUAAAAUUAGUCUGCUGAUUUAACAUACCCUAUAAGCCCUCCCUGACCCCACCACCAAAAAAAAAACACAUAGAAAAAAACAAAAAACAAGAAAGCCCCAGAAAUCCACACUUAGCACCUUGUAGGGGUUUUAAAACACAGCCCCCUAAAUCACUGAUAUUCCUUGCACUGAGCAGUGGGAAUUUAUAUCUCUUUACCCUUUAAUCUGCCGAUGUAACUGCAUUACCAACAGAAUAUGGCAGAAGUGAUGCUGUCCCAGCUUCCAGACCAAUGCCUCAAGAGACUGGAAGUUUCUAUUUCUCCUCUCUUGGGGCCCAGCCAUCAUGCCUCAAGGAGGCUGAAGCAACACAUGGUGAUGACUCUUGGUCCUGGGCCCUGAGCCCUGAAUGAACUCCCAGCCAACAGCCAGCACCAACUUGCCAGUUGCGAGUUACCUUAUAUGGUUCCACAUAAAGUAGAGCUGAGGCUUUCCCACUGAGCUCUGCUCAAAUUGCAGAUUUAUGGACUACAUAAAUGAUUCCUUUCAUAAGCCAUUGUGUUCUGGAGUAGUUUGUUACAUAGCAAUAACUGAUAAUGAUACAUAUGUUGCACAAUAUGAUUGUAUGUAA